AUAUUGGGCGUAAGAGCUCGUAGGCGGUUUGUCGCGUCUGCCGUGAAGUCCGGGGCUCAACUCCGGAUCUGCGGUGGGUACGGGCAGACUAGAGUGAUGUAGGGGAGACUGGAAUUCCUGGUGUAGCGGUGAAAUGCGCAGAUAUCAGGAGGAACACCGAUGGCGAAGGCAGGUCUCUGGGCAUUAACUGACGCUGAGGAGCGAAAGCAUGGGGAGCGAACAGGAUUAGAUACCCUGGUAGUCCAUGCCGUAAACGUUGGGCACUAGGUGUGGGGGACAUUCCACGUUUUCCGCCCGUAGCUAACGCAUUAAGUGCCCCGCCUGGGGAG
rnacentral:rRNA from 1 species